GACGAACGCUGGCGGCGUGCUUAACACAUGCAAGUCGAGCGGUGACGCGCUUUCCUCUUUGGCGGGUGUGGAUGAGUGGCCAACGGGGUAGUAACACGUUCGUAACCUGCCCCUUUCUUCUGGAUAACCGCAUGAAAGUGUGGCUAAUACGGGAUAUUCCCUGCCUGUCGCAUGAUGGGUUUUGGAGAGCUUUUGCUUCGGUGGGGGAUGGGCUCGCGGACUAUCAGCUUGUUGGUGGGGUGAUGGCCUACCAAGGCGAUGACGGGUAGCCGGGCGGGGAGGGUGGGCGGUCACACAGGGGAUGAGCGGCCGACAAGACUACGAGAGGAGGCAGCGGUGGAGAUUGGUGCACGGUGGGAAGAAGGAUCCAGCAGUAACGCGGGGGGGGAGAUGGAGGCCGUCGGGUUGAGAACCUCUUUCGGGAGUGAAGAGGGGCUGCCUCGUUUGUGGGUGGGUUGACGGUAGCUGGAUAAGAAGCGCCGGCUAACUACGUG
rnacentral:rRNA from 1 species